CAGGUCUUCUAGGAGCGAGAGGUCAAUCUGGUGCUGCUGGGUCAAAGGGCCCAUCAGGUACUCCUGGUGGAAUGGGGCCCCCUGGUGCUGCGGGUCCAGCAGGAAUGCAAGGGGAGAGAGGAAGGAGUGGCCCAACUGGACCUGUGG